rnacentral:rRNA from 1 species
UCCGUAGGUGGAUCGGUCAGUCAGAGGUGAAAUCCUGCAGCUCAAUUGUAGAACUGCCUUUGAUACUGCCGGUCUUGAAUUACUGUGAAGUGGUUAGAAUAUGUAGUGUAGCGGUGAAAUGCAUAGAUAUUACAUAGAAUACCGAUUGCGAAGGCAGAUCACUAACGGUAUAUUGACACUGAUGGACGAAAGCGUGGGGAGCGAACG